GCCAGGCACAGACAGGCAAGACUUCACAAGUGUGUAAAUUCCCUCCGAAGAGACAAAAGCAAGAAGAGGACAAAAAGUCUUGGACGGUGGCAGGAUAUGAACAUAUUAAAUAAGGAAUGUGAAGCUCUUGGACCAGGUGGCCGAGCCACCAGUGAGCAGCCACAUGGCUAAGAUCAAGGAGGCAAGGAGGAGGGUGGAGCUGUCCCAGCUUCCAGUUGCCAAGGUGACAGUCAAUGCUGCAUCCCGGCUCUCCAAGUCAUGCACAUCCAACCACUGGUGUCCUUACGGUCCUUAGCCAGAUUCAAAAGGAAAACCUCAGGAAAUUCUACUAGGGCAAGAAGUACAAGCCUCUGGACCCAAGAAGACUACCAUGAGCCUCCUGCUCCCCAAGCACGAAGAGAAGGUCAAGACCUGAGGUGGCCACAACAGCAGAGCACAAGACUGGCUGAGAAGACAAAAACAGAGAGUUUGACUACAUCAAAGAGUGGGUGGAGAGAGAAACACGAAAAGAGCUAGGAAAAAUCGGUCUCGGUGCACACACUGUGAUACCCUGCCCAUCUGCCUCCUGCAAACACUUCCACGCAGAUCCCCUCUUUGCCACUGGGACAGCUAAUCAUCGUUGUCAACCUGACUGGAUUUGGAAUCACUCAGCAAAUACAGCUGUGGGUAUGUCUUCCAGCAUAUUCUGGAGAGUGAAGACCAACCUCACAAUCCCAUGAGCAGGAGGGGUGUGUGUGUUGUGUUUGUGUGUGUGAGAGAGAGAGAGAGAGAGAGAGAGAGAGACUAGCUAAGGGGGGGACACAGGGCGGGCAGAGAGUACCAGCAUCCCCUGGUGCCCGCUCCCUGGUCUCUGGUGACCCUAGGUGCUCACCACAAGCUCCAGCCACCAUGAGCUCUGCCAAAUUGUCCCCACCAGGUCAGACUGACUGUACCCUCUUGAAACAUGAGUCAAAAGAAACCUUUC
rnacentral:lncRNA from 1 species